AAAUUGCAAGUCAGGAUCCCACCUGAAGAAUAGGGCGAUGAAAUGCGAGGCAAGAGUUAAGGAAAGCUGUAUAGAUAGAGUUUUUAUAAUUUCAUUUAUAUUUUUAACUUGUCAUUUUAAUUUUUGAUUUAAUGACAGAGCCUCGGACCGGAACCUCGACGGGACCUCACUCGACUCUCUAACUCAGUUGUCCUUCUUUCUUUUGUUUCUUCCUUGGAAUAAUGGUUGGGUCAAAAUUCAGUCUCGUUGUCUACUUCUUUGUAUGAAAACACUUUGUGUUUACAUGCAAAGAGGGGCAUGAUGUAGACACGUAAUUUUGUCCCUCCCCGAAAGCAUUUUUAUAAUUUUACCUCCGUCUUACUGUGUGCCCUUAUCCGUAAGAUUAUAUCCCACAAAAAUAUAAAAAAAAUAACAAACCCACUAACGAACCUAAUCCCCAAUUAUUCUUUUGGUAAAAAAAUUAACCACCGCUCAUAUCAAUUUCGGACAACAUAUCACCAUCCCAUGUCCCCUAUCCUAACGACUACCCCUACCAAGUCACCAC
rnacentral:lncRNA from 1 species